CUUCAUUAAUCAAGAACGAAAGUCAGAGGUUCGAAGGCGAUCAGAUACCGCCCUAGUUCUGACCGUAAAAGUCGUAACAAGGUAACCANNGAUGGANCNCAAUUGCCUGGUGNNAGCUUCCCGAAAACGAAAGUUUUCCGGUUCCGGGGGAAUAUGGUUGCAAAGCUGAAACUUAAAGGAAUUGACGGAAGGGCACCACCAGGAGUGGAGCCUGCGGCUUAUUUUGACUCAACACGGGGAAACUCACCCGGCCCGUACAUGNUAAGGAUUGACAGAUUGACAGCUUUUUCAUGAUUCGGUGGAUGGUGGUGCAUGGCCNUUCUUAGUUCGUGGAGCGAUCUGUCUGGUUUAUUCCGAUAACGAGCGAGACUCUGGCCUACUAACUAGUCCGCGNGUUNCCUCUGUGCCGUUGGACUUCUUAGAGGGAUUCGCGGUGUUCAGCCGCUAGAAAUGGAGCAAUAACAGGCCUGUGAUGCCCUUAGAUGUCGGGGGCNGNUCGGGCGCUACACUGAACAAAAUCAGCUGGCUUGUCCUGCUUCGAAAGGGGCGGGUAAACCCUNGAAAAAUCUGCCGUGAUUGGGAUCGGAAAUCUGCCAA
rnacentral:rRNA from 1 species